CGUAGGGUGCGUAGCGUUAAUCGGAAUUACUGGGCGUAAAGCGUGCGCAGGCGGUUUUGUAAGACAGGCGUGAAAUCCCCAGGCUUAACCUGGGAACUGCGUUUGUGACUGCAAGGCUAGAGUACGGCAGAGGGGGGUGGAAUUCCACGUGUAGCAGUGAAAUGCGUAGAGAUGUGGAGGAACACCAAUGGCGAAGGCAGCCCCCUGGGUCGAUACUGACGCUCAUGCACGAAAGCGUGGGUAGCAAACAGGAUUAGAUACCCUGGUAGUCCACGCCCUAAACGAUGUCAACUAGGUGUUGGGUGGGUAAAACCAUUUAGUACCGUAGCUAACGCGAGAAGUUGACCGCCUGGGGAGUACGGCCGCAAGGUUA
rnacentral:rRNA from 1 species